rnacentral:rRNA from 1 species
UACGUAGGUGGCAAGCGUUUGUCCGGAUUUACUGGGCGUAAAGAGCGCGCAGGCGGUCGUUUAAGUCGAAUGUGAAAGCCCCCGGCUCAACUGGGGAGGGUCAUUCGAUACUGAUCGACUUGAAGGCAGGAGAGGGAAGUGGAAUUCCGGGUGUAGUGGUGAAAUGCGUAGAUAUCCGGAGGAACACCAGUGGCGAAGGCGACUUCCUGGCCUGUUCUUGACGCUGAGGCGCGGAAAGCUGGGGGAGCAGCACGGGG